ensembl:misc_RNA 7SK 7SK RNA
GGAUGUGAGGACCAUCUGGCUACAAUGUGGGUCCCUGGUUCCCAUGGGUACAUGGUUCACCAGGGAUCUUGCUUGCCAGGUGGGUGUCUCCUUACUCCUUUACCACUCCACAUGUGUCCCUUAUAUAUUCAGUUGACAAAGAUGACCUGCUCUCAUAGAAGAAAGAUGUUCUUUAGUCAGAGUUACAGGGGUAAUGGUGCUUCCCUGCUAGAACAUCCAAUUUGUAGGAUAAUAAAAUUGUCAAACUUCCAAGACUCCAACUCCAGACUCAUCCAAAUGAGAGUCUGUAUAAGCAAGCCUGCUUUUCUUU